UUCAGGUCAUCGGAAACAAGUGGGACACGUAUCUUGACCUUCUCCAGGCAGACUACACUGAAGGAGAUGCACUUGAUGCGUUGGGUUUGGUCCGUUAUUGCUGUAGGCGAAUGCUUAUGACUCAUGUGGACCUCAUUGAAAAGCUUCUGAACUACAAUACUUUGGAGAAGUCUGAGACCAGCUGAGGGAGCUGAUGGAGUGACAAGAAGUUGUUUUCUCGUAUACCCUGUUGCCCUUGUUUGUCAGCUUCUAUAUUGUAAUAUCUUGUGAACACUUUCUGUGUUUACUGAGUUUUCUUUAGGAUGGAGCAUUAUUAGAAAUCAGGUACAUGGGACUGGUUGUGCUUAUGGAUUAGUUGCCAUGUUUCAUGGAUAAUUAUGUGUAAGAAAAGCUACCUAAGAAGCUGAGUUAUCAAAUGCUUGGUAUAAUGUGUUUCUUGUUGCCUGUUA